CAAGCUCACAGAGGCCGCUUCAAGAUGAUUCAUGGGGGAUCAUGAAGCACCAGCUGGAAGGACACCCCUGGCAAAACCCACUCGGGUGACGUAAACUAUACCUUAAAAAAUCACUUUCAUGGGCCACCUGGGCGGCCCAGUCCGUUGAGCGUCCGACUUCAGCUCGGAUCACUACAGCUCAGCUCAUGAUCUCGGGGUUCGUGAGUUCCAGCCCCGCGUCAGGCUUUGUGCUAAGAGCACGGAACCUGCUUUGGAUCCUCUGUCUCCCUCUCUCUCUGCCCCUCCCCUGCUUGUGCUCUCUCUCUCCCUCUCUCAAACAUAUAUAAACAUUUAAAAAAUAAAAAAUUCACUUUCUUAACCCACAUCAUCCUUUUUGUUUUCAAGUUUUGCCUUUGAAAUAAUCACUGACUUCUAAGAAAUUGGAAAGAUAAUACAGAGAGGUCCCAUGUACCCUCUCAGUUUCUCCGCAUGGCUGCACUUUGUGUCACUAUAGGAAACUGGCACUGGUACAUGUGUCAUGUAUGCCAUUUCGGUCACGGUGUGUAGAUUCAUGUAACCAUCACUGCCGUUGAGACACAGAACUAGUCUAUCAUUUUUCAUUCCUCUGGGGUAAAUGCCCAGAAGUACGACUGCUAGGUCUUCCUGGCAGGCUGAUCUUUUUACCAGUGUGUUCCUCUCUGUUUCUGGAAAUUUUCUUUGCUCUAAAGAUGUUUUUCUGACUAAUGUUUGCAUGAUUCUUUUUUUUUUUUUUUUUAAUUUUUUUUUUCAACGUUUAUUUAUUUUUGGGACAGCGAGAGACAGAGCAUGAACGGGGGAGGGGCAGAGAGAGAGGGAGACACAGAACCGGAAACAGGCUCCAGGCUCUGAGCCAUCAGCCCAGAGCCCGACGCGGGGCUCGAACUCACGGACCGCGAGAUCGUGACCCGGCUGAAGUCGGACGCUUAACCGACUGCGCCACCCAGGCGCCCCAUGCAUGAUUCUUAUUCUCUUACUUGCAGCCUAUCUAUAUAGUUAUAGCUGAAUUGGAUUUAUUAUAGACAGUUUAUCACUGUGUCAUUUUUUUUUACUUUAAAACUCAUCAAUAGACUUUAUUUUUUAGAGAUUUUAGGUUUGCAGAAAAAUUGAACAGUGAGUAGAGAGUUCCCAUAUACCCUCCUUCUCCUUCCCUACCCCACCCCCAUUUCCCUGUUAUUAGCACCUUGCACUAGUGUGGAACAUUUGUUACAGUUGAUGAACCUAUAAUGAUACAGUAUUAUUAACAAAGUCCAUUGUUUACAUUAGUGUUCACUCUAUGUAUUGUAUAUUCUACGAGUUUGGACAAAUGCAUAAUGCCACAUACCUGCCAUUGCAGUGUUACAUAGAACAUAGUUUCUCUGCCUUAAAAACCCCCUAGGCUCUGCCUAUUCAGUCUCCCCUCUCUCCCAGGCAAAUCCUUGGCAACUAACAAUUUUUGUACUGUCUCUGUACUGUCUGUGCAAUCUUGCCUGUUACAGAUUGUCAUACAGUUAGACUCAUACAAUAUGUAGCCUUUUCAGAUUGGCUUCCUCUACUUAGCAACAUGCAUUAAAGUUUCCCAGACUUCUUUUUGUUUCUUUUUUGGUUCGUUUCUUUUUAAGACUGAAUACUAUUGCAUUGUACGGAUGUGUCAUAGUCUAUCCAUUCACAUGUUGAAGGACAUUUCCAUUGCUUCCAAAUUUUGGUAAUUAUGAAUAAAGCUGCUAUAAACAUUCCUGUGCAGUGUGUGUGUGUGUGUGUGUGUGUGUGUGUGUGUAAAUUUCCAACUCAUUUAGUAGACUCCUAGGAAAAUUGCAUCCAUUUUAUUUCUCCAGCAAUGGAAGUCUCCUAGCCAGCACUAUUUAAAAAGAAAAAUCAAUUGUAUUUUUAAUCUGUAGCCGAUUGACAUUUUUCUUUUACUCUGACCAUAAUUUCUUUUAAUCAUAAUACUAACCCAUCAAGUCUGCUCUCUUUAGCCCAAAGGAUGAAAAAAGGUGUAGCCCAGAAAGACAGUAUCUUUUCAGUAUUAGCAAUCACCUGACAGUAAUUGAACUACUGUUGUACCCAGAGUGCUAAACUAAGUAUCGAAGAUACUCUGUGCAAAGCCUUCUCACAUUCAGAACAAAGAAGUAGAAACUCACUCAAUACAGAUUCUGUAGGACUUAUUGUGCUAUACCUACAUAUAUAUUUUGGUGAUAGAAAUGAAGAGAUUUUUAAAAAGUAUUAUCUGACUGGCAUAGGGAAUCAUAUACACCGCAUAAUUAUGAAAGGAAACUGAGAAAAUUAAAUGAAGUUAACUGAAAAAUAGUUCACAUGGGAUUAGAUUUCAAAAAGCAAAAUUAGUUUAUCAAAUGAUUAGUUCAUAUUGAAUGAAAAAUCGUCACCUUAUUUUAAGUUCAUUCUGAAUUUGAUGUGUUUUUGCUUAAUGUUUACCCUUUAAACCAUGAAUUUUUUUCUUCAGCUGUCCCUGGUUUCUGUCUGCCAAACUACAGAUAAACACUAGACAUUCUUAAUACAAAGAGAGUACGCUUCUAAUGUGUUAAUGUUUAUCUCAGGAAAAGGUGACUUUGCUACCACUUACAUAAUUUAAGUCUGUGCUGUUUUCAGCUACUAAUAUUUUAUACGAGGGUGAAAUGCAUCUUUCAUUUUCUAAAAAAAAUUUUUUUAAUGUUUAUUUAUUUUUGAGAGAGAGAAAGAGACAGAGCACGAGUGGGGAGGGGCACAAAGAGGGAGACACAGAAUCUGAACUCCGUGCUGUCAGCACAGACCCCAACGCAGGCUCGAACCCAUGAACCGUGAGAUCAUGACUUGAGCUGAAGUCAGACGCUUAACCGACAGAGCCACCCAGGUGCCCUGCAUCUUUCAUUUUUUUAAUUUUUUUAUUUAUUUUUUAUUUUUUAUUAUUUUUUUGCAUCUUUCAUUUUUUUAAAUAAACAAUGGCAAUAUAAAUAUUCUACAUUCAUCCUGAAAGUAAUAGAACUCUAGUAGAAAGGGAGGAAUAAAAUCUGCCUGCUUGCAUAACACAAUGCAGAAGUCAUUCAGAGAAAUAUGCAGAUUUCACCCUUCAGUCUCAACAACCUUAAUUCUUCAGUUUAUUAAUAGGAUGUGAAUCUACUCCGCCCCUGCUUUGUAACACAGCUCAGUUCUGCCCACACCUUCUUUCCAGUUGCCUGCAUGAACCACCCCAUCGGGAUGGAUGCCGCGUCUGGUGCCUCUGAGGACCGGGGAACCUUGGGUUGACCUGGGGGCAGAAAAGGACUGGUACCUCUAACCAAGCCCACCAUGGUCUUCCACAGACACUCUGUCCCCUUUCUAGUGUCUGCUUAAUCCUAAAUGACCAAUUUAAAGCAGGGCACACACUGUCCAGAUAGUCACGUAUAUAUUCCUUAAGUAUUUACUGAGUAUCCACUAUGUGCCACACCUUGUUUUUGGUGUUGGUAUGACAGCAGUGAACAAAAGAAAUUCUCUCUCAUGGAGCUUAUAUUCCUGUUUGGGAUAUAGAUAAUGAAUAAAUAUGUAAGGAGAAAGACAUACACAUAUAUAAUGCAAUGGCCAUGGUAAUAAAUGCCACUGAGAAAAGUAAAGCUGAAUAAGAAAGUAGAGAUUGGCAGGGUGACAGGUCAUAGAUGUGUCAGGGAAGGCCUGUGUCAGAGGUCAGGUGGUGACCACUGAGUGAAGACCUAAGGAAGACCUAAGAGAAAGGUCAUAUGGAUAUGUAGAAAAAUAGAGUCCCAGGCAAGUGCAAAGGCCCUGAGGUAGGAUCAUGUUUGUCACAUCCAAAAAGAUAAGAAGCCAACAUGACUGAGAAAGAGUGAGUGAACAGGAGGUAGGUAGAUGAAGUCUGAGGGGAAGCCAGGGACCCGAUCAUGGGUAGCUUUAGGGGCAAUGAAUAGGAUAUUGGAUUCAUUCUAAGUCAAGUAGAAAGUUACUGAAAGGUUUUUGCUGUUUGCUUAGAUCUGGCUCCUCUUUUCCAGCAACCACCUUGGAUUCUGAAGGAAGGACAUCCCUUCAUGAGGCUCUUCUAUGGGAGGGUGGUUAUUUGAGAAUGAAUAAUCACGGUAGAAGUGACAGAAAGAGCUGUGCUUUAGAACAUACUUUCAAUUUAGAGUCAAAAGAUUUUGGUGGGGAAUUAAAUAAAUGGUGUGAGCAAAACAGAAGGGCCAAGGGAGAGGCUGAGUUUGUGAGGCUGAGGGACUAGGUGAAUGGUAUACCAUAUUCCGAAAUGGGCAACACUGGGGGCGGAACAGAUAUCUAGAGAGAUUUCAGGAAACUCCACUAUAGUAGAUGCUGGAACUUAACAUUUUGUUUUUUUGAGACAGGUGUAUGGCCUUCAAGAAUACCCCAAAUUCAUAAAUACCACCAUAAGCCUUAAUAUUUCCCAUAAGAUAUAGUAACGUGGCCUCUUUUUAGCCUCUUAAAAAUCUCUCCGUUGCUUGAGAACAAUUAUGCCAGAGGCCAGAGCACCCUCUUGAAAUGGUGUCACAGGUGUCUCCUAUUCCUCUGUGGGACCACCUGAUGCCCCCAUCUAGAGUGUGAUUGUUCCACAGACAAAUUUGACAUUUCACUCUAGCAUAUCCCACACUUUUCAUUGUUAGCUAAAAAUUGUUUCAGGCAUUUCACUUCGGUCAUCAGCAUUAGCAGUUAGUUUCCUUUUUGGACACUUUUCAAAAAGAAAUCAAAUUCGUUUCACCUUAUGAGUGUUUCUGAAUAUGGGACAAUGACUCAGCAUAAGAAAGCCAAGAGAAGGCAGAAUUGCUAAAUCAGCUAUGAGCAUCUCUCACCAGCUGAGUAGAUCAUCAGGAAUAUCAACAUGCCCAUCCCCAAAAUAUUCAGCUGUAUGAAUCAGUAAAAUUUGAAAUUCUUUCAAGUUAUGAGCCAGGGAGUCUCACAAAUGAUUAAAACCAUGAAUUUUAAAUCCAGGAAUGCCAAUGAUCUACUGUCUGAAUUUAUUACAUUCAGUUUCUCCUAAUUUGUUCUAUAUCCUGUAUCCUGCUGGUAGAGUUGUGCAGUCCGAGACUCCUCCCCUUCUGCCCUAUGAUAAUGCAGAGCUUCCCCUGCCUACUUUUAAGAAUUUGCUAAGAAUGUCAAUAAAGUUUUAGAAAUCCUAAAGAGGACAUGUUUGAAACAGAAAAGCCUUGGUGCCAGUCCCAUCUCUGCCAUUUACCAACUGUGUGACUUCCAGAAAGUUGCUUAGCCUCUCUGAGCAUGUUUCUCUCUCUUUAGGUGGGGAUAAUGACACCUAACUUGUGAGGUGGUGGAAAAUGAACCAGAAUUAGGUCCCUGUGGUAGUCAUGAAGAGGUAGUCAUGAAGAGGUAGUCAUGAAGAUCUCGUCCUUGAAGAGAUCCUGCUGCGAGGAACUCAGUUGGCCAACAUCUCUGGCUGCCACCUCUGUGGAUUCCCUGCACCCUUAGAAUAUCUAAAAUUUUUGUCUCCCAAGAACCAAUUUUCACCCCAAUGGGGGCAACAUUGCCCUUGCUGAGGAGACACCCCGGACGGCAACCUGAGUUCUAGUUCUGCACUGACUGAUUACUCAACCAUUUAUAAGUCACUCUCGCUCUUUGGGACUCCGUUUUCUCAUCUGUAAAAUGAAAAGGUUGAACAACGUGCUGUUGAAACCUCUCUCGCAGCCCUGGAGUCCUAUGAGUUCUGCAUGGCACUGGUGGACACAGCGUAACUGACUUCUCCCGCCCUCCCUGCUCCACUCCCCACCUACCUUUACAGAUAGGACAUGUGGUCGCUGUAUCUUAUCGUGAUUGUUAGCUUGCGUGUCAGGCUCCCUCCAAAACAACAUGAACUGCUUGAAGACAAAGUCCACAUGCAUGUGAUACAGUAGCUGGCAGGAAGCAGGCACCUGGUCAAUGUUUGUAGAAUGGGCUGCACAGUGUACCUACAGGGUGAACUAGAUGCAACUGCCCAGGUUAGACCUUUUGACAGCAAAUCUAUAGGUUAACUCAGGCAAACUAUGGAAUUAAAGGACACCUGCUGUGUACCUAGCUCUCAGGUCGAUGUCUGACAUGUUGGGCGGUCAAGAGAUGUUUAAGGAAGGUAAGUUGAAGGUAAGGAAGGUAAGUAAAGAAGGAAAGUAAGACAGGGAAAAGGUAGACAAAUCAUAUUGUGCCAAUAUUUUAUUUCUUCAAAAAUUCCUGGUAACUUGUAAAAGGACUUCAAUCUAAAGUGGAACCUGAUUAUAUGAAACGGAGAAUGUCGCACACGCACCUCCUAGAAGAACAGAACUUAAGAACCUAGAGACUGAUUUCUCAGAAAUGUCUGAUGUACAGAAGACCAAGACUUAUCCCCUGACCAAUGAGCAACUGCCAAGAAUCUUUUCCCAUUCGCAAGCCAUGGAACUCACUGCUUGGACUCUGGCUGGACAUCCCCCUCUUUGCACACCUUGCCUAUAAAUACAGCCUGCUCCAAACCCUCAGCAGACUCACCUGUAGCCUGCAACGUCACGCAUUUAUGGAAUUGCAGUUCCUCUGCUGUUCCCAAAUAAACUCAAUUUCUG
rnacentral:lncRNA from 1 species